CGUUGACAGAAACAUAAUAAAGAAGAAACGGAACAAUAGUUUUCUGAUAUUUUUAGUAGUUUUUAUGUAAAUUCGAAAAAUUUUCGAUCAUCUGUUAAAAGUUCGAUUUCCAAGUAUUUCUAUGCAGUAAAAACAUGAUUCUCUUGUAACUUUUUUAGAUUCAAGAACACAAGAAUGACGAAAUACAGUAAAACUUCAGGAAAUCGUUUAUAAUUUCCGAAAACAAAAAAAUUGUCCAAAUUUGAGAACACGAUGCGCAGAAUUUGUCUGCAUUCUACGGGAUAUUUUAAAAGUUUCAAAUUCACAAGAAUUUCUGCAGAAAUGUAUUUUCGAUUUCACGAGACUAAGGAAUUGCGCAGAUUCGAAAAAAGUGCAGGGAUUCCCUGGAGUCUGAGAACUUCCAAAAGAUUCAUAAAUGAUGAAUUGCACCAACAGUAUAUAAUAGUAAUCCAGAUUUUCGGGAAAUAAAUGAAUAAGGAAUGGAAAAAUCAAAUAUUGAUUAAUGAUGAAUACUUAUUGGUUAAAACUAAAAGAUAUUGGGUCCAGGACACUUCCAAAUUCUACGAAAGGUGAGGACACAAUGAAGAAGGUCUACGUUUACCGAGCGCACACACCUCUCGGAAGUGGACCUGCAUUUGGGUGCGGUGCCAUUCACGCGGGAUCCUAUCGGGAGUUUACGCUCGAGUUCCAUUCACUGAAUCGCAAAUCCCUGAAUCGUAGUCCAUUCACCAGCCGAGUUGUAAACGUAAAUCGUCCAUUCGAGUGUUUGUUUCUGGUGGGAAAAUUUUUAGUUGCAGAACUGGAGCAUUUACUGGAGAUCUCGUGCAGCUGAGCGCAGGAAAGGAUGGCAUUAGGAUCCAUCGAUCAAGGAAUUGACCGUCCUGAGAUCAACAAUUGGAGUGAAUUACGCGCCCUGGAAUCAGCGAUCGGUGAGUAAUUCUCAGUAACAUAGCGACACAAUAAAAUAUUUUCUUCUUGUUUGUUUGUUACAAAAUAUAGCAAAAAUAUAAAUUAGAGAGAAAAUUAUGUUACGGCGAAAAUCAUCUUUAGUAUACUAAAAAUA